CAGGCAUAAAGCCAUGUUGAUUAGUAGAAAUUGAACUCUUAAGUGCAAAUAAUAUUUUUUCCUUAACUAUAAUUUCAAACAAUUUUGACAUGUCAGAAAGUUUAUAAA